rnacentral:rRNA from 1 species
UACGAAGGGGGCUAGCGUUGCUCGGAAUCACUGGGCGUAAAGGGUGCGUAGGCGGGUCUUUUAAGUCAGAGGUGAAAUCCCAAGGCUCAACCUUGGAACUGCCUUUGAUACUGAGGAUCUUGAGUUCGGGAGAGGUGAGUGGAACUGCGAGUGUAGAGGUGAAAUUCGUAGAUAUUCGCAAGAACACCAGUGGCGAAGGCGGCUCACUGGCCCGAUACUGACGCUGAGGCACGAAAGCGUGGGGAGCAAACAGGG